rnacentral:rRNA from 1 species
AUACGGAGGGUGCAAGCGUUAAUCGGAAUUACUGGGCGUAAAGCGCGCGUAGGCGGUUUGGUCAGUUGGAUGUGAAAGCCCAGGGCUCAACCUUGGAACUGCAUUCAAUACUGCCAGGCUAGAGUACGGUAGAGGGAGGUAGAAUUCCACGUGUAGCGGUGAAAUGCGUAGAGAUGUGGAGGAAUACCAGUGGCGAAGGCGGCCUCCUGGAUCGAUUCUGACGCUAAGGUGCGAAAGCGUGGGGAGCAAACAGGAUUAGAAACCCCUGUAGUCC